GGGUUGUGAGGUUAAGCGACUAAGCGUACACGGUGGAUGCCCUGGCAGUCAGAGGCGAUGAAGGACGUGCUAAUCUGCGAUAAGCGUCGGUAAGGUGAUAUGAACCGUUAUAACCGGCGAUUUCCGAAUGGGGAAACCCAGUGUGAUUCGUCACACUAUCAUUAACUGAAUCCAUAGGUUAAUGAGGCGAACCGGGGGAACUGAAACAUCUAAGUACCCCGAGGAAAAGAAAUCAACCGAGAUUCCCCCAGUAGCGGCGAGCGAACGGGGAGGAGCCCAGAGCCUGAAUCAGUGUGUGUGUUAGUGGAAGCGUCUGGAAAGGCGCGCGAUACAGGGUGACAGCCCCGUACACAAAAAUGCACAUGCUGUGAGCUCGAUGAGUAGGGCGGGACACGUGGUAUCCUGUCUGAAUAUGGGGGGACCAUCCUCCAAGGCUAAAUACUCCUGACUGACCGAUAGUGAACCAGUACCGUGAGGGAAAGGCGAAAAGAACCCCGGCGAGGGGAGUGAAAAAGAACCUGAAACCGUGUACGUACAAGCAGUGGGAGCACAGAGCAAUCUGUGUGACUGCGUACCUUUUGUAUAAUGGGUCAGCGACUUAUAUUCUGUAGCAAGGUUAACCGAAUAGGGGAGCCGAAGGGAAACCGAGUCUUAACUGGGCGUUAAGUUGCAGGGUAUAGACCCGAAACCCGGUGAUCUAGCCAUGGGCAGGUUGAAGGUUGGGUAACACUAACUGGAGGACCGAACCGACUAAUGUUGAAAAAUUAGCGGAUGACUUGUGGCUGGGGGUGAAAGGCCAAUCAAACCGGGAGAUAGCUGGUUCUCCCCGAAAGCUAUUUAGGUAGCGCCUCGUGAAUUCAUCUCCGGGGGUAGAGCACUGUUUCGGCAAGGGGGUCAUCCCGACUUACCAACCCGAUGCAAACUGCGAAUACCGGAGAAUGUUAUCACGGGAGACACACGGCGGGUGCUAACGUCCGUCGUGAAGAGGGAAACAACCCAGACCGCCAGCUAAGGUCCCAAAGUCAUGGUUAAGUGGGAAACGAUGUGGGAAGGCCCAGACAGCCAGGAUGUUGGCUUAGAAGCAGCCAUCAUUUAAAGAAAGCGUAAUAGCUCACUGGUCGAGUCGGCCUGCGCGGAAGAUGUAACGGGGCUAAACCAUGCACCGAAGCUGCGGCAGCGACGCUUAUGCGUUGUUGGGUAGGGGAGCGUUCUGUAAGCCUGUGAAGGUGUGCUGUGAGGUAUGCUGGAGGUAUCAGAAGUGCGAAUGCUGACAUAAGUAACGAUAAAGCGGGUGAAAAGCCCGCUCGCCGGAAGACCAAGGGUUCCUGUCCAACGUUAAUCGGGGCAGGGUGAGUCGACCCCUAAGGCGAGGCCGAAAGGCGUAGUCGAUGGGAAACAGGUUAAUAUUCCUGUACUUGGUGUUACUGCGAAGGGGGGACGGAGAAGGCUAUGUUGGCCGGGCGACGGUUGUCCCGGUUUAAGCGUGUAGGCUGGUUUUCCAGGCAAAUCCGGAAAAUCAAGGCUGAGGCGUGAUGACGAGGCACUACGGUGCUGAAGCAACAAAUGCCCUGCUUCCAGGAAAAGCCUCUAAGCAUCAGGUAACAUCAAAUCGUACCCCAAACCGACACAGGUGGUCAGGUAGAGAAUACCAAGGCGCUUGAGAGAACUCGGGUGAAGGAACUAGGCAAAAUGGUGCCGUAACUUCGGGAGAAGGCACGCUGAUAUGUAGGUGAAGCGACUUGCUCGUGGAGCUGAAAUCAGUCGAAGAUACCAGCUGGCUGCAACUGUUUAUUAAAAACACAGCACUGUGCAAACACGAAAGUGGACGUAUACGGUGUGACGCCUGCCCGGUGCCGGAAGGUUAAUUGAUGGGGUCAGCGCAAGCGAAGCUCUUGAUCGAAGCCCCGGUAAACGGCGGCCGUAACUAUAACGGUCCUAAGGUAGCGAAAUUCCUUGUCGGGUAAGUUCCGACCUGCACGAAUGGCGUAAUGAUGGCCAGGCUGUCUCCACCCGAGACUCAGUGAAAUUGAACUCGCUGUGAAGAUGCAGUGUACCCGCGGCAAGACGGAAAGACCCCGUGAACCUUUACUAUAGCUUGACACUGAACAUUGAGCCUUGAUGUGUAGGAUAGGUGGGAGGCUUUGAAGUGUGGACGCCAGUCUGCAUGGAGCCGACCUUGAAAUACCACCCUUUAAUGUUUGAUGUUCUAACGUUGACCCGUAAUCCGGGUUGCGGACAGUGUCUGGUGGGUAGUUUGACUGGGGCGGUCUCCUCCUAAAGAGUAACGGAGGAGCACGAAGGUUGGCUAAUCCUGGUCGGACAUCAGGAGGUUAGUGCAAUGGCAUAAGCCAGCUUGACUGCGAGCGUGACGGCGCGAGCAGGUGCGAAAGCAGGUCAUAGUGAUCCGGUGGUUCUGAAUGGAAGGGCCAUCGCUCAACGGAUAAAAGGUACUCCGGGGAUAACAGGCUGAUACCGCCCAAGAGUUCAUAUCGACGGCGGUGUUUGGCACCUCGAUGUCGGCUCAUCACAUCCUGGGGCUGAAGUAGGUCCCAAGGGUAUGGCUGUUCGCCAUUUAAAGUGGUACGCGAGCUGGGUUUAGAACGUCGUGAGACAGUUCGGUCCCUAUCUGCCGUGGGCGCUGGAGAACUGAGGGGGGCUGCUCCUAGUACGAGAGGACCGGAGUGGACGCAUCACUGGUGUUCGGGUUGUCAUGCCAAUGGCACUGCCCGGUAGCUAAAUGCGGAAGAGAUAAGUGCUGAAAGCAUCUAAGCACGAAACUUGCCCCGAGAUGAGUUCUCCCUGACUCCUUGAGAGUCCUGAAGGAACGUUGAAGACGACGACGUUGAUAGGCCGGGUGUGUAAGCGCAGCGAUGCGUUGAGCUAACCGGUACUAAUGAACCGUGAGGCUUAACCUUACAACGCCGAAG
rnacentral:rRNA from 1 species